AAAAUGACGGUACCAGCAGAGGAAGCAUCGGCUAACUACGUGCCAGCAGCCGCGGUAAGACGUAGGAUGCGAGCGUUGUCCGGAAUUAUUGGGCGUAAAGAGCUCGUAGGUGGUCUGCUGCGUCCGCUGUGAAAACCUAGGGCUUAACCCUGGGCCUGCAGUGGAUACGGGCAGACUAGAGGUAGGUAGGGGAGAAUGGAAUUCCCGGUGUAGCGGUGAAAUGCGCAGAUAUCGGGAGGAACACCGGUGGCGAAGGCGGUUCUCUGGGCCUUACCUGACACUGAGGAGCGAAAGCGUGGGGAGCGAACAGGGUUAGAUACCCUGGUAGUCCACGCCGUAAACGUUGGGCGCUAGGUGUGGGGUCCUUCCACGGAUUCCGUGCCGCAGCUAACGCAUUAAGCGCCCCGCCUGGGGAGUACGGCCGCAAGGCUA
rnacentral:rRNA from 1 species